rnacentral:tRNA from 1 species
UCCCUGAUAGCUCAAUCGGUGAAGAAUCUGCCUGCAAUGCAGGAAAUCCCAGUUCGAAUCUGGUUUGGGAA